AGGCAACCUUCAUAUACUACUGGAUUUGGGACUGCUUUAAAUAUAGAGACACUUAUUGCUGCCGCGGAACAAAGAGAUACACCAACUGAGACACCUCCACCUGAAGUUCAGGACAAGAUUCUUUUUAUGAUCAACAAUAUAUCCAUCUCAAAUAUGGAAGCUAAGGCAAAGGAAUUUAACAAGGUCAUACAGGAACAGUAUUAUCCUUGGUUUGCACAAUACAUGGUCAUGAAAAGGGCAAGCAUUGAACCAAAUUUCCAUGAUCUGUAUCUGAAGUUCUUUGAUAAAGUAAACUCAAAAUCCUUGAACAAGGAAAUACUGAAAGCCACAUAUGAGAACUGCAAGGUU